UUUUUUUUUUUUUUUUUUUUUUUUUAAUCUGGAAAAGGAAGACAGGCACUGGUACAACAGGUUCAGCCUCUUAGAGAAUGAUAUUCCCAAACUGCAGCAGAUUUGAUUUGUAAAUUUUAGCCCUUUAAGGAAUAAAGUUGUGUAGAAAUUCUGACUCCCUAAAAACAUUAAAAUCAGUCUACUGGUACUGGGUGGGGAAAGCAAGGGGGAUCCUUGUGUUCACUCCCAGAGUUUUUCUCUUUUAACUUUGGUUGGUUUUUUUGUUUUUUUGUUUUGUUUUGUUUUUGAUUUUUUUCCAUUAUAGCUGGUUUACAGUGUUCUGUCAAUUUUCUAGUGUACAGCAGGGUGACCCAAUCACACAUACACAUGUACAUUCCUUUUAACUUUGAUCCUCCAUCCCAACCUUUUACUGGAGAAGAUUGGAGUUUGUGGAGGUGGCAUGGACUUACGUGGGAACUGGCUCCCCAUGAAUCAGGAUGGGACCCUCCCUGCCCUUCCUACCCUGACACCCCAGCCAGCCUUUGAAAAGGCCCAGCUGCCAAGGCUGGAGGAGGAGACAUGCAUACAUUCUGGCCUGGACAGGGGGUUGAAUUGAAUACCAGACCUUUAGGUCCUCAGACUUGCCAGGUCAGAAGCAUCUCAACUAGAGAAGUCCAUGCAACCACACACCAGAGCCUUGCAACAAGCUGUCUGUUGCUCACUGGAGAGUCAUCUGCCUGGGCCUUUUAUGGGCAUGAUGUGUCUAUAUCUGUUUUUGAUUUUCACUCUCCAUUUGGGGGAAGUGAAAUAGCUCAGAGAUGAGAUCGUUUAAUUGGACAGCCAAGUGUAAGGGAACCCAGCAAACCCUCUAAUGUCAUGGUAAAACAUCACAAUCAGCUAGAAACUGAACGUCAGCAUUCUCAGAUGCAGCGGGCAGCAUCAGGGUAUGUAGAGAGUUCACCCUGGAUCAAGGCCCUCUCCGCAGCUCCUCCCUGGCUGUGGUCCAGGUCCACGUGUUGAGUUGUUUGGUCCAGAGUUGUAGUCACACGAACACCUGCCCUUGCUUCCCUUCCUGCUGCAUAUCUAUUUACCCUGGUAAAGAAAGUACACCAAUGACAAUGCAUGUCUUUAGACAACUGGUCUACCAGUUCAGAUGUAGAAGCAGUGAGAUGGGGAAUUUUAGGUGUCUGUGUCUGUCCAGGAAAGAGCUUCAGCCAACACAUAGGAAUUUGGAAAUCUCCUGUCAAUCCUGACUGGCCCUUACUAGUUCCCUCUGGCCCAGGAAACAAAUAACAAAUCCCCGGGGCCUUAACACCCGUGAUGCUGAUGGUCCUGCACAAAGAGUCCAAAACGGUUGUGUGUAAGAACUUGUGCAUUUUAUAGUUUUUACUCUCUGUCCCAAGGAAUCUGGGAGAGAAGGGGCCUGUUAGGGGUGAAAGGCAUCAUCUCCCCAAGGGAAAUCUGGGUCUGUCUCCAAAACGUUUUCAAAAUAUUUAUAGCAACUGGCGGACGUGUACCAAGGCUUGCCAGGAUCCAAAAGGAAGUGAGCCCAGAGCUUCAUGGGUAUCAUUCCACAGGGGGUGUCCUGUCUCCUUAAUCCAGAGGCCCAAAGGUGAGCCUGGCCCGCUCUCCUCCAGUCAGGAAGCAUGGUUUGGCCCUGCAUUCCUCCAAGGUGCUGCUUGUGGGGAGGCUCCUGCAUCACAUUGUGUGAGGGGACAGGGGGGUCAAGGGUGGCAGAGAGAGGAGGAAGGAGUCCUCUUCAUCCUGUGUGCCCUGCCAAUCUGAACCCAGAACUCCUGGGUAUCGAUGGCCUUGGCCAGGACCUUGGAAAGGCUUCUUUUCUGGCCUAGGUACCAACAUGUGUCUCCAGCCAAAGGCUGGUUGGAGGGCAGCUGUCCUCAGAUGACUCACCCCAGGAGCAUCCUGGGUGGGGGUGGGGGAGCCUUUACCUCAUCUUCUGAGCUGGCCUGUUCCUUUCUCCCAUCAGAAUGGGCCAGAGAGAACUGCUGGGCUGCCUCUUCUUUGGCAGGGCUUUUGGUCUCUCUGAACCACAUUGUUUGGGCAGGAGCCAGAAAAGGUGGGUGGAGUUUCCUUGCCCAUAGGAUGAUGUGCUUGCCCAUUUCUUAUGGCUGGAGUUAGCUCUUUGGUCCCCCAGAAGUUGAGUUCAUUUUCCCCUUUUGCUCACUGGCUUCUAGCUCUCCUUGCUUCCACUGGGAGUGGACGGUCAGUGUUGGAGGAAAGAUAAUAAAAGCCAGUUUAGGGAGUUCCCUGGUGGCUCAGCAGGUUAAGGACCUGGCGUUGUCACUGCUAUGGCUCAGGUUUGAUCCCUAGCCCUGGAACUUCUCAUGCCAUGGGUG
rnacentral:lncRNA from 1 species